GUGGUGGAUUAGUGGCGACGGGUGAGUAACACGUGGGCAAUCUGCCCUUCACUCUGGGACAAGCCCUGGAAACGGGGUCUAAUACCGGAUAACACUCUGUCCCGCAUGGGACGGGGUUGAAAGCUCCGGCGGUGAAGGAUGAGCCCGCGGCCUAUCAGCUUGUUGGUGGGGUAAUGGCCUACCAAGGCGACGACGGGUAGCCGGCCUGAGAGGGCGACCGGCCACACUGGGACUGAGACACGGCCCAGACUCCUACGGGAGGCAGCAGUGGGGAAUAUUGCACAAUGGGCGAAAGCCUGAUGCAGCGACGCCGCGUGAGGGAUGACGGCCUUCGGGUUGUAAACCUCUUUCAGCAGGGAAGAAGCGAAAGUGACGGUACCUGCAGAAGAAGCGCCGGCUAACUACGUGCCAGCAGCCGCGGUAAUACGUAGGGCGCAAGCGUUGUCCGGAAUUAUUGGGCGUAAAGAGCUCGUAGGCGGCUUGUCACGUCGGAUGUGAAAGCCCGGGGCUUAACCCCGGGUCUGCAUUCGAUACGGGCUAGCUAGAGUGUGGUAGGGGAGAUCGGAAUUCCUGGUGUAGCGGUGAAAUGCGCAGAUAUCAGGAGGAACACCGGUGGCGAAGGCGGAUCUCUGGGCCAUUACUGACGCUGAGGAGCGAAAGCGUGGGGAGCGAACAGGAUUAGAUACCCUGGUAGUCCACGCCGUAACGUUGGGAACUAGGUGUUGGCGACAUUCCACGUCGUCGGUGCCGCAGCUAACGCAUUAAGUUCCCCGCCUGGGGAGUACGGCCGCAAGGCUAAAACUCAAGGAUUUGACGGGGGCCCGCACAAGCAGCGGAGCAUGUGGCUUAAUUCGACGCACGCGAAGAACCUUACCAAGGCUUGACAUAUACCGGAAGCAUCAGAGAUGGUGCCCCCCCUGUGGUCGGUAUACAGGUGGUGCAUGGCUGUCGUCAGCUCGUGUCGUGAGAUGUUGGGUUUAAGUCCCGCAACGAGCGCAACCCUUGUUCUGUGUUUGCCAGCAUGCCCUUCGGGGGUGAUGGGGACUCAACAGGAGACUGGCCGGGGUCAACUCGGAGAAGUUGGACCGACUCCAGUUCAUCAUGCCCCCCUUAAUGUCCUUGGGGGCCU
rnacentral:rRNA from 1 species